rnacentral:lncRNA from 1 species
UAGCCUGGAUGAUGUGGCGAUUAUCUAGAACGGCACAACAUGCUGUGAGGAUAAAAGGUGGACUACAGGAGAUUCCGAGUAUGGACGUAAAUAGGUCGAAUCGGACUAGAUCAUGAGGGACCUCGACUCGACCUGAUUCUUUGAUCGGGCCUAAUGUUAGAUCCAAACCUAAUUCAAUAGAAGAUCGGGUUAGCUUUAUGGAUGAAAAUUUUGUCUCCAUGAAUCAUUUGGUUC